UUUUUAGAAGAAAUUAGUCAUAGACCCUCUUUCCCUCAUAGUUACAAAUCGGUCCCCAUUUUUCACAAGGCUCACAAAUUUUCUCUCUCCUCUAAAAGUUGAAACUGCUCCAAAGUAAAAAGUCCACAAAAACUCCAUUAAAGGUUCUCCAAAAUUCAUUCAUCAAUAUCAUUACGUUGAAAUUUUCGGGUUUCAUAGUAAAUUGGGAUAGAUUGAAGAAUAUCAGAUUUGAAAAGUUGGGUGGCGAGAGUUUCAAGCGCAAGAGAAAGAAAUCGGGGCUUAAAAUUCCUAAAUCGGUGUAUAGUUGAACAUUUGGUUGGAGUUCACUCAAGCAAAGGUCAACAGAGUUUUGAGCUAGUUUUGGCACUUAGAUUCAUCAAGAAUUCUGGCGCAAUAUCAAGUGCUCAGUGUGAAUUGCUGCUAUCCCAUAUAGAACAGUCAAAUUUAAUUUGUGAAGCAGACAGAGACAAAAUUGAAAAAAUCAUCAAAAUUUGAAGGUUAAACAUUGUAACAAUUAACUAACUAGCUUUUUUUUAUUUUUUAGUUAUAGAGUAUUAUUUAUUGUGAGUUGUGUGAGAAAUAUUUGUAAUUUACUAGUACAUCAAUUCAAUAUAAUUUACAAGAUGUUGUAUAAAGUUUAUUUAUCUUAUAUUGGUUAAAUUAAUAGUUAUUAUAGUUUAUGAAAGUUUAUUAAUAAUUAA